UAGUUUUCUUGUGCCGAUUUGAUUUAUUCAGCUUGCGGGCACGUUAAACAUGCAGCUAAAGUGAACUACCCACUUGAGCU
rnacentral:ncRNA from 2 species